GACGAACGCUGGCGGCGUGCUUAACACAUGCAAGUCGAACGGAAAGGCCCUGCUUUUGUGGGGUGCUCGAGUGGCGAACGGGUGAGUAACACGUGAGUAACCUGCCCUUGACUUUGGGAUAACUUCAGGAAACUGGGGCUAAUACCGGAUAGGAGCUCCUGCUGCAUGGUGGGGGUUGGAAAGUUUCGGCGGUUGGGGAUGGACUCGCGGCUUAUCAGCUUGUUGGUGGGGUAGUGGCUUACCAAGGCUUUGACGGGUAGCCGGCCUGAGAGGGUGACCGGCCACAUUGGGACUGAGAUACGGCCCAGACUCCUACGGGAGGCAGCAGGGGGGAAUAUUGCACAAUGGGCGGAAGCCUGAUGCAGCAACGCCGCGUGCGGGAUGACGGCCUUCGGGUUGUAAACCGCUUUCGCCUGUGACGAAGCGUGAGUGACGGUAUGGGUAAAGAAGCACCGGCUAACUACGUG
rnacentral:rRNA from 1 species